rnacentral:rRNA from 1 species
UACGUAGGGUGCGAGCGUUAAUCGGAAUUACUGGGCGUAAAGCGUGCGCAGGCGGUUUUUUAAGCCUGAUGUGGAAUCCCCGGGCUUAACCUGGGAAUUGCAUUUGGGACUGCAAGGCUUGAGUGCGGUAGAGGAGACUGGAAUUCCCGGUGUAGCAGUGAAAUGCGUAGAUAUCGGGAGGAAUACCGAUGGCGAAGGCGGCAUCCUGGACCGACAUUGACGCUGAGGAGCGAAAGCGAGGGGAGCAAACGGG